rnacentral:rRNA from 1 species
ACCCAAUCCCCACACCACCCAAGAACCCUUACACAGUAUUGAGUAAUUCUAUACUUCUAUAGAAGAUUUUAUGUUAAAACUAGUAACAAGAAAGAGAGCUUCUCCUGCAUGUAAAUGUAAAUCAGACAGGACACCCCACUGAUAAUUAAUACCAAUGAAUCAAAAAGUAGUAACUUACCAAGAAAACCCUACUCCACCAAAUAUUAACCUAACACCAGAACAUCACAGGAAAGAUUAAAAGAAAAAGAAGGAACUCGGCAAAUAAUAACCCCGCCUGUUUACCAAAAACAUCGCCUCUUGUUAAAACAUAAGAGGUCCCGCCUGCCCAGUGACUCUGUUCAACGGCCGCGGUAUCCUAACCGUGCGAAGGUAGCGUAAUCACUUGUUCUUUAAAUGAGGACUAGUAUGAAUGGCACCACGAAGGUUAUACUGUCUCCUUUUUCCAAUCAGUGAAACUAAUCCCCCCGUGAAGAAGCGGGGAUAAAAAUAUAAGACGAGAAGACCCUAUGGAGCUUUAAACAACAUAACACCUGCUUUAACUUAGCCAACUUUCAGAAAAAUCUCUCCUACCCCUGCAGAAUGAUUAUCAGUUUUAGGUUGGGGUGACCGCGGAGCAUAGACCAACCUCCUCAUUGAAAGGAACCCACUCCUUAGCCAAGAGCUACACCUCCACGCACCAAUAAAAUGACAUUAAUUGACCCAAUAUAUUGAUCAACGAACCAAGUUACCCUAGGGAUAACAGCGCAAUCCACUUUAAGAGCCCCUAUCGACAAGUGGGUUUACGACCUCGAUGUUGGAUCAGGGUAUCCUGGUGGUGCAGCCGCUACCAAAGGUUCGU